rnacentral:rRNA from 1 species
UGGGGAAUAUUGGACAAUGGGCGCAAGCCUGAUCCAGCCAUGCCGCGUGGGUGAAGAAGGCCUUCGGGUUGUAAAGCCCUUUUGUUGGGAAAGAAAAGCAGUCGGUUAAUACCCGAUUGUUCUGACGGUACCCAAAGAAUAAGCACCGGCUAACUUCGUGCCAGCAGCCGCGGUAAUACGAAGGGUGCAAGCGUUACUCGGAAUUACUGGGCGUAAAGCGUGCGUAGGUGGUUUGUUAAGUCUGAUGUGAAAGCCCUGGGCUCAACCUGGGAAUUGCAUUGGAUACUGGCAGGCUGGAGUGCGGUAGAGGGUAGUGGAAUUCCCGGUGUAGCAGUGAAAUGCGUAGAGAUCGGGAGGAACAUCCGUGGCGAAGGCGACUACCUGGACCAGCACUGACACUGAGGCACGAAAGCGUGGGGAGCAAACAGGAUUAGAUACCCUGGUAGUCCACGCCCUAAAACGAUGCGAACUGGAUGUUGGGUUCAAUUAGGAACUCAGUAUCGAAGCUAACGCGUUAAAGUUCGCCGCCUGGGGAGUACGGUCGCAAGACUGAAAACUUAAAUGAAUUGACGGGGUCAUAGCUG